CUGGCGGCGUGCCUAACACAUGCAAGUCGAACGGAGUAAUUAAGCGGAAGUUUCGGAUGGAAGCAUAGUACUUAGUGGCGGACGGGUGAGUAACGCGUGGGCAACCUGCCCUGUACCGGGGGAUAACACUUAGAAAUAGGUGCUAAUACCGCAUAAGCGCACAGCUUCGCAUGAAGGUGUGUGAAAAACUCCGGUGGUACAGGAUGGACCCGCGUCUGAUUAGCUAGUUGGUGGGGUAGAGGCCUACCAAGGCGACGAUCAGUAGCCGGCCUGAGAGGGUGACCGGCCACAUUGGGACUGAGACACGGCCCAAACUCCUACGGGAGGCAGCAGUGGGGAAUAUUGCACAAUGGGGGAAACCCUGAUGCAGCGACGCCGCGUGAGUGAAGAAGUAUUUCGGUAUGUAAAGCUCUAUCAGCAGGGAAGAAAGUGACGGUACCUGACUAAGAAGCCCCGGCUAACUACGUGCCAGCCGCCGC
rnacentral:rRNA from 1 species